rnacentral:rRNA from 1 species
UACGUAGGGGCCGAGCGUUGUCCGGAGUUACUGGGCGUAAAGCGUGCGCAGGCGGUUUGUUAAGUCUGUUGUGAAAUCCCCGAGCUCAACUUGGGAAUUGCAAUGGAUACUGGCAGGCUGGAGUAUGGUAGAGGAAGGUGGAAUUCCCGGUGUAGCAGUGAAAUGCGUAGAGAUCGGGAGGAACACCAGUGGCGAAGGCGGCCUUCUGGACCAAUACUGACGCUCAUGCACGAAAGCGUGGGGAGCAAACAGG